GGGCACCAUGGCGAAAUGGGACAAUCAGGUGGCCUACACGAACCCAAUAGCAAUGGCCAGAUCGAGGGGUCUGAUCCAGUCUUCAGGACCAACGAUCCAGAAUUAUCUGAAUCAACCAAGGCCUACCUGGGAAGAAGUGAAAGAGCAACUAGAAAAGAAAAAGAAGGGCUCUAAGGCUUUGGUUGAAUUUGAAGAAAAAAAUGAAUAAGAACUGGAAGAAAGAACUAGAAAAACACAGGGAGAAAUUAUUAAGUGGAAGUGAGAGCUCAUCCAAGAAAAGACAGAGAAAGAAAAAAGAAAAGAAGAAAUCCGGUAGGUAUUCCUCCUCUUCUUCUUCAUCAAGCUCUGAUUCUUCCUGCAGUUCUUCAGAUUCUGAAGAUGAGGGUAGGAAACAAGGGAAUAGGGAGAAGAAAAAGAAGUCAAAGGAUGCACCUGAGAAGGAAAAGGAUGUCAAAAGGCUCAGCAAAAAAAAGAAAGAUGGAUCCUGA